rnacentral:siRNA from 1 species
CCAGGUCUGGACCGGUUAAAUCCC